AUUGAACGCUGGCGGCAUGCUUUACACAUGCAAGUCGAACGGCAGCGCGGGCUUCGGCCUGGCGGCGAGUGGCGAACGGGUGAGUAAUGCAUCGGAACGUGCCCAGUAGUGGGGGAUAGCCCGGCGAAAGCCGGAUUAAUACCGCAUACGACCUGAGGGUGAAAGCGGGGGACCGAAAGGCCUCGCGCUAUUGGAGCGGCCGAUGUCGGAUUAGCUAGUUGGUGGGGUAAAGGCUUACCAAGGCGACGAUCCGUAGCUGGUCUGAGAGGACGACCAGCCACACUGGGACUGAGACACGGCCCAGACUCCUACGGGAGGCAGCAGUGGGGAAUUUUGGACAAUGGGGGCAACCCUGAUCCAGCCAUGCCGCGUGCGGGAAGAAGGCCUUCGGGUUGUAAACCGCUUUUGUUCGGGAAGAAAUCCUCUGGGCUAAUACCCCGGGGGGAUGACGGUACCGGAAGAAUAAGCACGGGCUAACUACGUG
rnacentral:rRNA from 1 species